rnacentral:lncRNA from 1 species
CAACAUAACCAAACACAUACCCAUAUGCUUUCAUACAUCAUACCUAUGUGGACCCUUUCAGUCUCCUCUAGUCUACUCACAAAUAAACAUAUACACCCAUAAGACGUAGAGUUCCAAUACUCCUAUGGGUUGUCUAUCCUAUAAAAUCUUAUAACUCUCUUAUAUCUUUUUCUCAUACCUAACCCUAUAGAGACUUUACCUAUUUAUAACCAUACAAACUUGCCCAUUAAGAAUCACUUUCCUCUUAGAAUUCUUCUCCUAUAAGUCAAACUUGCCUAUUAAGAAUCCAUUUUCUUUUAGAUUUCUUCUCUUGCAAGUCAAACUUACUUAUUAAGAAUCCUCUUUCUCUUAAAAUUCUUCUCUUGCAAGUCUUCUUGUCUAUCAAGCAAUAUCUGACAAAUCCCAAACAAAUCUCUAACAAAUCCUAAACAAAUCUCUUAUGGGAUUUAAGUCAAUAUUCUCAACACUAAGAACCUUGGGACAGCCCUUGUAGCCAGUUCACAGAAGUGAAACGAAGUGCUUUUCUCUUUAAAGAAGCACGAACGGCUGUCGUGUUCGGACUAGCAUCAUCUCUUGCUUCGCCCAUGAAUGCUACCCAAUAAUAGAGUUCGUACCCUAGACUAAGUAAAGGUAAAAGAGAAUACCCCUUCCUUAGACGAGUUCCUCAGUUAUAAAGACCUUUCUGGUUUUAUGUUUUAAUACCGUACUCAGUUAAUGUUUGAGUAAUAUGCGUGAUAGCUUACUCGUGUUAACAUUUUUUGCAUGAAUUUU